CAGUUUUGCAAGAGAGGCGUACCGACUGUACCGGGUCGCGUUUCUAAGAUGAAUCCCUCCGUCCCUCUUCUCGAUCCCGAUCCCGAAUCCGGGACGACGUUCCCGAUUCAGGGAACGCGCCACCGUUCCCUGUUUCCGGCUACUAUGAGCGGACCAGAUCUCAACUGCACUACUUCAUCCUCUGUUCUCUCUGAUUUAAUUCAGGUUCAGGGGCCACCUGUGCCACAGAUGUUGUUUCCUUCACAUAUUGACUAUCUAACUCCAAAUUAUUAAAUAGGUAACUCAGAAUGUACUAGAACACUUCUGAGUUAGAAGAACUGAGGUUCUAUAUAAUUUUGAGGAGUAUGUCGAAGAUGUUGGCUUAGGACCCAAACCCACUGAUGGUCCUAUGUGCUGCCACGACCUCCUUUCUAUGUCUAAGCGGAAGGUGUGUGGGUUGCUGAUGUCUACGGGUGCUUCUAUUCUUGUAGACAGUGUUGGGCCUCCAAGAGCAGAGGUUUGUAGAACAGCAGCAAGUUUCCCUUAAGUGGAUCACCCAAGGUUUAUCGAACUCAGGGAGGAAGAGGUCAAAGAUAUC